UUGCCAUCAUUAAUUGGGGACUCUAGUGAGACUGCCUACGCAAGUAGAGAGGAAGGUGGGGAUGACGUCAAAUCAUCACGGCCCUUACGCCUUGGGCCACACACGUAAUACAAUGGCCGGUACAGAGGGCAGCUACACUGCGAAGUGAUGCAAAUCUCGAAAGCCGGUCUCAGUUCGGAUUGGAGUCUGCAACUCGACUCUAUGAAGCUGGAAUCGCUAGUAAUCGCGCAUCAGCCAUGGCGCGGUGAAUACGUU
rnacentral:rRNA from 1 species